GAUGAACGCUGGCGGCGUGCCUAAUACAUGCAAGUCGAGCGAACAGAUGAGGAGCUUGCUCCUCUGACGUUAGCGGCGGACGGGUGAGUAACACGUGGAUAACCUACCUAUAAGACUGGGAUAACUUCGGGAAACCGGAGCUAAUACCGGAUAAUAUAUUGAACCGCAUGGUUCAAUAGUGAAAGACGGUUUUGCUGUCACUUAUAGAUGGAUCCGCGCCGCAUUAGCUAGUUGGUAAGGUAACGGCUUACCAAGGCAACGAUGCGUAGCCGACCUGAGAGGGUGAUCGGCCACACUGGAACUGAGACACGGUCCAGACUCCUACGGGAGGCAGCAGUAGGGAAUCUUCCGCAAGGGGCGAAAGCCUGACGGAGCAACGCCGCGUGAGUGAUGAAGGUCUGCGGAUCGUAAAACUCUGUUAUUAGGGAAGAACAAAUGUGUAAGUAACUAUGCACGUCUUGACGGUACCUAAGCAGAAAGCCACGGCUAACUACGU
rnacentral:rRNA from 1 species